AGUCGAGCGGAAGAAGGGAGCUUGCUCCCGGAUGUUAGCGCGGACGGGUGAGUAACACGUGGGUAACCUGCCUGAGACUGGUAUAACUCCGGGAAACCGGAGCUAAUACCGGAUAGUUCCUUGAACCGCAUGGUUCAUGGAUGAAAGACGGUUUCGGCUGUCACUUACAGAUGGACCCGCGGCGCAGUAUCUAGUUGGUGGGGUAAUGGCUCACCAAGGCGACUAUGCGUAGCCGACCUGAGAGGGUGAUCGGCCACACUGGGACUGAACACGGCCCAUACUCCUACGGGAGGCAGCAGUAAGGAAUCUUCCGCAAUGGACGAAAGUCUGACGGAGCAACGCCGCGUGAGUGAUGAAGGUUUUCGGAUCGUGAAGCUCUGUUGUUAGGGAAGAAAGUGCGAGAGUAACUGCUCGCACCUUGAGGUACCUAACCAGAAAGCCACGGCUAACUACGUGCCAGCAGCCGCGGUAAUACGUAGGUGGCAAGCGUUGUCCGGAAUUAUUGGGCGUAAAGGGCUCGCAGGCGGUUUCUUAAGUCUGAUGUGAAAGCCCCCGGCUCAACCGGGGAGGGUCAUUGGAAACUGGGAAACUUGAGUGCAGAAGAGGAGAGUGGAAUUCCACGUGUAGCGGUGAAAUGCGUAGAGAUGUGGAGGAACACCAGUGGCGAAGGCGACUCUCUGGUCUGUAACUGACGCUGAGGAGCGAAGCGUGGGGAGCGAACAGGAUUAGAUACCCUGGUAGUCCACGCCGUAAACGAUGAGUGCUA
rnacentral:rRNA from 1 species